CGGGACGGGUGAGUAAUGUCUGGGAAACUGCCUGAUGGAGGGGGGUAACUACUGGAAACGGUAGCCAAUACCGCAUAACGUCGCAAGACCAAAGAGGGGGACCUUCGGGCCUCUUGCCAUCGGAUGUGCCCAGAUGGGAUUAGCUAGUAGGUGGGGUAACGGCUCACCUAGGCGACGAUCCCUAGCUGGUCUGAGAGGAUGACCAGCCACACUGGAACUGAGACACGGUCCAG
rnacentral:rRNA from 1 species